GAUGAACGCUGGCGGCGUGCCUAAUACAUGCAAGUCGAGCGAACAGACGCGGAGCUUGCUCCUCUGACGUUAGCGGCGGACGGGAGUGUAACACGUGGAUACCCUACCUAUCAGACUGGGAAAACUUCGGGACACCGGCUCUAAUCCCGGAUAAGCUCUUGAACCGUAUGGUUGAAUAGUGAGAGACGGCUGUGCUGGCACGUAUAGCUGCAUACCCGCCGCUUUGGCUAGUUGGUAAGGUCAAGGCUUACCACGGCAACGAUGCGUAGACGACGUGAGAGGGUGAUCGGCCACACUGGAACGGAGACACGGUCCAGAGUCCUACGGGAGGCAGCAGAAGGGAAUCUGCCGCAAUGGGCGAAAGCCUGACGGAGCAACGCGGCGUGAGUGAUAAAGGUCUUCGGAGCGUAAAACUCUGUUAUUAGGGAAGAACAAAUGUGUAAGUAACUAUGCACGGCUUGACGGUACCUAAUCAGAAAGCCACGGCUAACUACGUG
rnacentral:rRNA from 1 species